ACCCGGUGGCACGUCUUAACCUAAUGCUACUCCGACGCAACAUCAGAACACUCCCACCCGGUGCUCGGUUGUGAUGGCAACAGCAGUUUUACUUAGCGCUCGCAAUCUGGGGCCCACAUCCCACGCAACCCAAUGGCAGCGACCAUUCAUUGAUCGACCACGUAUGUGUGCAUGUCACGUCAACGUAGAUCGCUGAUGUGACAGCUAUAAAUACGGGCGACCUCCUGCCCUGCCCCUGGCCUAUUCCGCCACUAUUCCACACACCUCCGUCCUCUCUCUCGCACUAUCAGCGGCAGCAGUGAUCGCGAUCUUCUCCAGCCUUUUCCGCUUUCCUCC